rnacentral:pre_miRNA from 1 species
GCACUCUACGCCGCUGGCUUACGUUGUACUCGGAAAUCGUGUCCAGUGCCGUUGAUUGCAG